AGUCAUGUCAGCUUUCGCUUCU
rnacentral:snRNA from 1 species